rnacentral:rRNA from 1 species
UACAGAGGCCUCGAGCGUUAGGCGGAAUCACUGGGCUUAAAGCGUGUGUAGGUGGAUGCCUAAGUACCUUGUGAAAUCCCAUGGCUUAACCAUGGAACUGCAUUUGAAACUGUAAAGCUUGAGUAUUGGAGAGGAUGGUAGAAUUCCUGGUGUAGUGGUGAAAUACGUAGAUAUCAGGAGGAAUACCGGAGGCGAAGGCGGCCAUCUGGCCAAAUACUGACGCUGAGAUACGAAAGCGUGGGGAUCAAACAGG